rnacentral:rRNA from 1 species
AAAUUGAAGAGUUUGAUCAUGGCUCAGAUUGAACGCUGGCGGCAGGCCUAACACAUGCAAGUCGAGCGGAAACGAGUUAUCAGAACCUUCGGGGGACGAUAACGGCGUCGAGCGGCGGACGGGUGAGUAAUGCCUAGGAAAUUGCCCUGAUGUGGGGGAUAACCAUUGGAAACGAUGGCUAAUACCGCAUGAUGCCUACGGGCCAAAGAGGGGGACCUUCGGGCCUCUCGCGUCAGGAUAUGCCUAGGUGGGAUUAGCUAGUUGGUGAGGUAAGGGCUCACCAAGGCGACGAUCCCUAGCUGGUCUGAGAGGAUGAUCAGCCACACUGGAACUGAGACACGGUCCAGACUCCUACGGGAGGCAGCAGUGGGGAAUAUUGCACAAUGGGCGCAAGCCUGAUGCAGCCAUGCCGCGUGUGUGAAGAAGGCCUCGGGUUGUAAAGCACUUUCAGUCGUGAGGAAGGUAGUGUAGUUAAUAGCUGCAUUAUUUGACGUUAGCGACAGAAGAAGCACCGGCUAACUCCGUGCCAGCAGCCGCGGUAAUACGGAGGGUGCGAGCGUUAAUCGGAAUUACUGGGCGUAAAGCGCAUGCAGGUGGUUUGUUAAGUCAGAUGUGAAAGCCCGGGGCUCAACCUCGGAAUUGCAUUUGAAACUGGCAGACUAGAGUACUGUAGAGGGGGGUAGAAUUUCAGGUGUAGCGGUGAAAUGCGUAGAGAUCUGAAGGAAUACCGGUGGCGAAGGCGGCCCCCUGGACAGAUACUGACACUCAGAUGCGAAAGCGUGGGGAGCAAACAGGAUUAGAUACCCUGGUAGUCCACGCCGUAAACGAUGUCUACUUGGAGGUUGUGGCCUUGAGCCGUGGCUUUCGGAGCUAACGCGUUAAGUAGACCGCCUGGGGAGUACGGUCGCAAGAUUAAAACUCAAAUGAAUUGACGGGGGCCCGCACAAGCGGUGGAGCAUGUGGUUUAAUUCGAUGCAACGCGAAGAACCUUACCUACUCUUGACAUCCAGAGAACUUUCCAGAGAUGGAUUGGUGCCUUCGGGAACUCUGAGACAGGUGCUGCAUGGCUGUCGUCAGCUCGUGUUGUGAAAUGUUGGGUUAAGUCCCGCAACGAGCGCAACCCUUAUCCUUGUUUGCCAGCGAGUAAUGUCGGGAACUCCAGGGAGACUGCCGGUGAUAAACCGGAGGAAGGUGGGGACGACGUCAAGUCAUCAUGGCCCUUACGAGUAGGGCUACACACGUGCUACAAUGGCGCAUACAGAGGGCAGCCAACUUGCGAAAGUGAGCGAAUCCCAAAAAGUGCGUCGUAGUCCGGAUUGGAGUCUGCAACUCGACUCCAUGAAGUCGGAAUCGCUAGUAAUCGUGGAUCAGAAUGCCACGGUGAAUACGUUCCCGGGCCUUGUACACACCGCCCGUCACACCAUGGGAGUGGGCUGCAAAAGAAGUAGGUAGUUUAACCUUCGGGGGGACGCUUACCACUUUGUGGUUCAUGACUGGGUGAAGUCGUAACAAGGUAGCGCUAGGGGAACCUGGCGCUGGAUCACCUCCUUAAACGAUGAU